GGACUACUAGGGUAUCUAAUCCCGUUUGCUCCCCUGGCUUUCGCGCCUCAGCGUCAGAAGAGGCCCAGCGCGCCGCUUUCGCCACCGGUGUUCCUUCCGAUAUCUACGCAUUUCACCGCUCCACCGGAAGUUCCGCGCGCCCCUACCUCCCUCGAGGCGGGCAGUAUCCAAGGCCCUUGUGCGGUUGAGCCGCACGCUUUCACCCCGGACUUGCCCGCCCGCCUACGCGCCCUUUAAGCCCAGUGAAUCCGAACAACGUUCGCACGGUUCGUCUUACCGCGGCUGCUGGCAC
rnacentral:rRNA from 2 species